UACGUAGGGUGCGAGCGUUGUCCGGAAUUAUUGGGCGUAAAGAGCUCGUAGGCGGUUCGUUGCGUCGACUGUGAAAUCCCAAGGCUCAACCUUGGGUCUGCAGUCGAUACGGGGCGAACUAGAGUUCGGCAGGGGGAGACUGGAAUUCCUGGUGUAGCGGUGAAAUGCGCAGAUAUCAGGAGGGAACACCGGUGGCGAAGGCGGGUCUCUGGGCCGAUACUGACGCUGAGGAGCGAAAGCGUGGGGAGCGAACAGG
rnacentral:rRNA from 1 species